rnacentral:rRNA from 1 species
CCUACGGGAGGCAGCAGUGGGGAAUCUUGCGCAAUGGGCGAAAGCCUGACGCAGCAACGCCGCGUGCGGGAAGAAGGCUUUCGGGCUGUAAACCGCUUUCAGUAGGAACGAAACUGACGGUACCUACAGAGAGAUCGCUUG